rnacentral:rRNA from 1 species
UACGAAGGGUGCAAACGUUGCUCGGAAUUAUUGGGCGUAAAGCGCACGUAGGCGGCUUAGCAAGUCGGAAGUGAAAUCCCUCGGCUCAACCAAGGAAGUGCUUUCGAAACUGCUGAGCUUGAGUACUAAAGAGGAUCGCGGAAUUCCCGGUAUAGAGGUGAAAUUCGUAGAUAUCGGGAGGAACACCAGUGGCGAAGGCGGCGAUCUGGGUAGAUACUGACGCUGAGGUGCGAAAGCGUGGGGAGCAAACAGG